rnacentral:rRNA from 1 species
UACGUAGAGUGCGAGCGUUAUCCGGAUUUAUUGGGCGUAAAGCGUCCGCAGGCGGUAUAAAAAGUCUUAAUUUAAAAGUUUGCGCUUAACGCAAGUUCAGAUUUAGAUACUUUUAUACUUUGAAGUCGGGAGAGGGUGCUGGAAUUUGCAGUGGAGCAGUGAAAUGUGUUGAUAUUGCAAAGAACACCAAAGGCGAAGGCAGGCACCUGGACCGAUCUUGACGCUAAGGGACGAAAGCUAGGGGAGCGAAAGGG